rnacentral:rRNA from 1 species
UACGGAGGAUCCGAGCGUUAUCCGGAUUUAUUGGGUUUAAAGGGUGCGCAGGCGGGAGAUUAAGUCGGCGGUGAAAUUUUGCAAGCUCAACUGUAAAAGUGCCUUCGAAACUGGUUUCCUUGAGUGUAGAUGAAGUAGGCGGAAUUUGUGGUGUAGCGGUGAAAUGCAUAGAUAUCACGAGGAACUCAGAUUGCGCAGGCAGCUUACUAAACUACUACUGACGCUCAGGCACGAAGGCGUGGGGAUCAAACAGGAUUAGAGUACCCU